rnacentral:rRNA from 1 species
AUUGAACGCUGGCGGCAUGCCUUACACAUGCAAGUCGAACGGUAACAGGUCUUCGGAUGCUGACGAGUGGCGAACGGGUGAGUAAUACAUCGGAACGUGCCUAGUAGUGGGGGAUAACUACUCGAAAGAGUGGCUAAUACCGCAUGAGAUCUACGGAUGAAAGCAGGGGAUCGCAAGACCUUGUGCUACUAGAGCGGCCGAUGGCAGAGUAGGUAGUUGGUGGGAUAAAAGCUUACCAAGCCGACGAUCUGUAGCUGGUCUGAGAGGACGAUGAGCCACGCUCGGACUGCGAAAAGACCCAGAGUCCUACGGGAGGGAGCAGUGGGGAAUUUUGGAGAAUGGGCGCAAGACUGAUCCAGCAAUGCCGCGUGAAGGUUGAAGGCCUUCGGGUUGUAAACUGCUUUUGUACGGAACGAAAAGCCCUGGGUUAAUACCCUGGGGUCAUGACGGUACCGUAAGAAUAAGCGCCGGCUAACUACGUGCCAGCCGCCGCCGUAACAC